UCAUUCCAUGCUUAACGGUUGAAAACACCGUUCUGCUUUGAUUUCCAGAAGCACAUUUCCGGAGGCCAACUUAAUAAACCCCCUUGCAUUUGGUACCUGGGAAAAAUAGCUCAGUCUUAGGGCAGGUGGGAACCUGUCUGCUGGCGUUGUGAUGAUGACUCUUUGCCGUUUACCCAGCUGAUUUCUGUGAUGAGUGGCACAUCAAACUGGGAAGAUCUUUCGUUUCUGAUUUGAUUUAUUCUGUUCUUUCAAAGAUGUUAUCAGAUGACUUUCUCCACUGACUUCAAGCUGUGCACAGCCAACAGCAGACUGUUGAUUUCCAUAAGUAUGGGUGUUUAAGAAGGUUGAGAACAGUGUGAAAUGUGGAUUUCUAAUGCACCUGGAAAUGCUUUCCUGGCCCUUCCUGCUUCCCAGAAGCACUGCUUGAUUCUAAUAUGCUCGGGGUGAAGUCCUGUGACUUCUAAUGCCAUGCUGAAAGGAAGAAGUCAAGUAAGAUGGAGUUAGAGUUUAGAUGAAAAUGUGAAUAAUGCCUGAAUGAAGUUCAAGUGAGAGUGUGGCUGAGAAGUAGCCCUUCAGAUGCUGUUAGAACUCAGUAUGAAUAUUUAAGUUCAUAGUUAAUAUUCAUAUAGUUAAUAUUGCAAACAAAAUUUGAUUACAGGAUUAAAACACAUAGGAAAACUUGUUUUCUUGUCUAAAUUAGUGUUUAUAAUAAUGCUGGAAGCUGUUCUGCUCACUUUCAAUGCAGUAUUUGUAUAAAUAAAAUCUUGGAUUUGUAAUUCCAAU
rnacentral:lncRNA from 1 species